AAGUUUCUGGGAUGAAAACAAUCAAUUUACUCCACUAAUAGUCUCUAGUUUCUAAGCCUGCGGAGAAAAACCACCAACAGCAACAACAAAAACCCAGCUGCUUUUCCCAGUACUGAAUUAAGAAAGUAAAACAUUGGGUCAGAUUGCCAUUAGAGGGCGCCAGAGAGCAAGCCCCAUCACCUCUCGCACAACUUCCCACAGAAGCCCUCCUAGCUUCCAGCUCCGCCAUGCUCUGUGAUUCCUUCUCUCAGAUGAACGUCACUCUGAAAAAGACUAUUGUGCUCUGUGGACACCUGCUGACCCCAAAAGCAUGGAAUAUGAUAUAGGAGUGGGAACUCUGGCUUCACUUCAAAGUUGAAGGUUAAGUUUCCUAAGCGGAAGUGAAAACAAGGUUUGAUGAUGAGGCUUCGAGAAGGGAGAAGGGCCGGGGAGAAAUAUGGUAAGCAUUCAAUAAAUGGUUGUUGGUAGUUGUUAUGGUGGUGAUGGGAUGGUUAACAAAUCUUUCCUAAGAAAUGCUUUCAAAG
rnacentral:lncRNA from 1 species